rnacentral:rRNA from 1 species
UACGAAGGGGGCUAGCGUUGCUCGGAAUCACUGGGCGUAAAGGGCGCGUAGGCGGCCAUUUAAGUCGGGGGUGAAAGCCUGUGGCUCAACCACAGAAUUGCCUUCGAUACUGGAUGGCUUGAGACCGGAAGAGGUAAGUGGAACUGCGAGUGUAGAGGUGAAAUUCGUAGAUAUUCGCAAGAACACCAGUGGCGAAGGCGGCUCACUG